AAUGCCUAGGAAUCUGCCUGGUAGUGGGGGAUAACGUUCGGAAACGGACGCUAAUACCGCAUACGUCCUACGGGAGAAAGCAGGGGACCUUCGGGCCUUGCGCUAUCAGAUGAGCCUAGGUCGGAUUAGCUAGUUGGUGAGGUAAUGGCUCACCAUGGCGACGAUCCGUAACUGGUCUGAGAGGAUGAUCAGUCACACUGGAACUGAGACACGGUCCAGACUCCUACGGGAGGCAGCAGUGGGGAAUAUUGGACAAUGGGCGAAAGCCUGAUCCAGCCAUGCCGCGUGUGUGAAGAAGGUCUUCGGAUUGUAAAGCACUUUAAGUUGGGAGGAAGGGUUGUAGAUUAAUACUCUGCAAUUUUGACGUUACCGACAGAAUAAGCACCGGCUAACUCUGUGCCAGCAGCCGCGGUAAUACAGAGGGUGCAAGCGUUAAUCGGAAUUACUGGGCGUAAAGCGCGCGUAGGUGGUUUGUUAAGUUGGAUGUGAAAUCCCCGGGCUCAACCUGGGAACUGCAUUCAAAACUGACUGACUAGAGUAUGGUAGAGGGUGGUGGAAUUUCCUGUGUAGCGGUGAAAUGCGUAGAUAUAGGAAGG
rnacentral:rRNA from 1 species